AUGGAGGAAAAGAGGGCAUGGAUUCAGAGUGCUGGCUGGAUCACCAGCAUGGGCGAUGAAGCCCUCAGAAUGAUGACCAGAGUGGAGAAGUCGAGAAACAGCCCAGAUACGUGUGGUCCCGGCCUUCUCCUGAGAUGUCCUGUGUGGUCCCACAUAGCAAGCGAGAAGGCCAAGUUAGAGGGAAAAGAAUUCACUCUGCAGACACAGCCUGCCUAUCCUUGUCACUUCCUCUCUGAGAAGCAGAGACACGAGGAUGCACCUUCUCAAGUCAGUCAUCGGCGAGGAUCUACGGGGGACCUGCUACGUGCUAGGAACUGUCCGGGAUGCAGGGACACACGGGCAAACAGGACCAAGUCCCUGCCCUCCCUGGCCUUGCACUCAGCGGGAGACCAGUCCAACCUCUAGCCUGGACUUGGCUCAGCCAUGACUCUCCCACCUGUGCCCCCUAACCUCUCCCCCUCCACCCCGGCUUCCCUUCCAACCCUAACUCCAUGUGUUUCCUGAUCCAUUUCUUCAAAACCUGGGCCAGCCUCCCUUCCCCAUUCAUGGCAAGUAUCCUGCCUUGAAGUUGGCCUUAAUAUGCUAGACUCAUUCUCCCAGUGCUGUUCUCAUUUUCCCCUCUCGAAUCUAUACAAUCUUUUUUUCAUCCACUGUGGUCUUCAAGCAGGGGUUCCCCAAUUAAGCACAAACUCUUCCUUGCUAAAGCUUUUAAUUCCUUUCUUAGGCGUAGAGUUUAUUGCAAUAAUUCCACUUAUUAAUUUUUGACACCUCCAUCCAGGAAAAUGACAUAUGCCUUGUAUAACCAGAAUCCUCAUGCCCCUUUGUCCACUCACGGAUUACAAUCCUCUACUUCUCUAAGGAAAACCCCACAUUUCAGGUCCCUGAAUGCACCAGGAUGUUCAGACCUCAUGCAAAGAAUGAUCAAAAGCCAGUUUGAAAACAUCUGAGAGGAGGUGGUUCCAGGAGCCUGUGAACCAAGCACAUGGAUGUGAGGCUAACUCACAAGGGUCUUUCCUGGUCCUGGGUGUAGCCUCACAGGGGAUUCCAAAUACACCAUCUGAGAUAGGAGAGCCCGCACCUUCUAUCAAUGCCUGACCCAGGACCAAAGACCCACCUCACUCUCUAGUUCUCACUUCCCAUAGGGAGCAUGGACGUUUUUAGUAAGUUAGGGUCUCCGGCAUCUCAUACUGAGUUCAGUUUGCAAUACUAGCGGUCGCUGUAGUCUGAGUUGCCAAACGCCAAGGAUUCCCACAGAGCUCACGGCCUGCAGUUGCUCGAGCUAGGCUAGGUUAUGUAGUCCUAACAAACAACCUCAAAAUCUUAGUAGCCAAACAAUAAGUGUCACAGGACAUCUGGGGAAAAAGUGCACGUUGCUGUGUAUUUUCUUUAUUCAGGGAUCUUGACUAAAAAGAUCCAUCUCUGUCCUUCUGGCAAUAUAAAGCUAUAAUUUUUGUUUUCAUCAUCCUUAUAUGUAUACCUAUAGUAUCAAAGUGAACUGCAUGUGGAGUCAGAAGAGUUCAUCUCAGUCCUGGUUCCCCUAUUUAAUGACCUUGUAAUUUUAUAUGACUUUGCCCCUAUAGACCUCGGUUUCCUCUUCUGUAAAAACAAAGGAUGAGGUUAUAAGUAAUCUUUAAAACCACUUUCAUCGGGCAGCCCAGGUGGCUCAGUGGUUUAGCACCUGCCUUCAUCCCAGGGCGUGACCCUGGAGACCCCGGAUCGAGUCCCGUGUCGGGCUCCCUACAUGGAGCCUGCUUCUCCCUCCGCCUGUGCCUCUGCCUCUCUCUUUGUCUCCUCUCUGUGUAUUCUCAUGAAUAAAUAAUAAAAUCUUUUGAAAAAAUAAAACCA
rnacentral:lncRNA from 12 species